GAUGUACUCCCUCUGUUCGAAAAUACUUGUCGAAAAAAUGCAUAAAAAUGAAUGUAUCUAGAACUAAAAUAUGUCUAGAUACAUCCAUUUCCCCGACAAGUAUUUCAGGACGGAGGGAGUACAAG
rnacentral:pre_miRNA from 1 species